UACGUAGGUGGCAAGCGUUGUCCGGAUUUAUUGGGUUUAAAGGGUGCGUAGGCGGCCCUGUAAGUCAGUGCUGAAAUAUCCCGGCUUAACCGGGAGGGUGGCAUUGAUACUGCGGGGCUAGAGUACAGAUGAGGUAGGCGGAAUUGACGGUGUAGCGGUGAAAUGCUUAGAUAUCGUCAAGAACACCUAUAGCGAAGGCAGCUUACUAGGCUGGAACUGACGCUGAGGCACGAAAGUGUGGGGAUCAAACAGG
rnacentral:rRNA from 1 species